ACAAAAUUCAAGAAGUCAUAGGGAAAGGAAGCUAUGGUGUCGUUUGCUCAGCCAUUGACACGCACACUGGUGAAAAAGUCGCAAUUAAAAAAAUUCAUGACAUCUUUGAACAUAUAUCUGAUGCGGCACGGAUCCUCCGGGAGAUAAAGCUUUUGCGACUUCUGCGCCAUCCUGAUAUAGUUGAAAUCAAGCAUAUUAUGUUGCCACCUUCGAGGAGG
rnacentral:misc_RNA from 1 species